GGGGGGUGUUACUGUCAGGUCGCACGAAGCACUUAGGACAGAUUACUUCUGGUUUGAAGUCCUAUUUGACUGAGUGGCGCACGGGUGAGUAACGCGUGGGUAACCUGCCUCAUACAGGGGGAUAACAGUUAGAAAUGACUGCUAAUACCGCAUAAGCGCACAGUCUCGCAUGGGACAGUGUGAAAAACUCCGGUGGUAUGAGAUGGACCCGCGUCUGAUUAGCUGGUUGGUGAGGUAACGGCUCACCAAGGCGACGAUCAGUAGCCGGCCUGAGAGGGUGAACGGCCACAUUGGGACUGAGACACGGCCCAAACUCCUACGGGAGGCAGCAGUGGGGAAUAUUGCACAAUGGGGGAAACCCUGAUGCAGCGACGCCGCGUGAAGGAAGAAGUAUUUCGGUAUGUAAACUUCUAUCAGCAGGGAAGAAAAUGACGGUACCUGACUAAGAAGCCCCGGCUAACUACGUGCCAGCAGCCGCGGUAAUACGUAGGGGGCAAGCGUUAUCCGGAUUUACUGGGUGUAAAGGGAGCGUAGGCGGUUCAGCAAGUCAGAAGUGAAAGCCCGGGGCUCAACUCCGGGACUGCUUUUGAAACUGUUGAACUAGAUUGCAGGAGAGGUAAGUGGAAUUCCUAGUGUAGCGGUGAAAUGCGUAGAUAUUANGAGGAACACCAGUGGCGAAGGCGGCUUACUGGACUGUAAAUGACGCUGAGGCUCGAAAGCGUGGGGAGCAAAUGGGAUUAAAUACCCUGGUAGUCCACGCCGUAAACGAUGAUUACUAGGUGUCAGGCGCCAUAGGCGUU
rnacentral:rRNA from 1 species